rnacentral:rRNA from 1 species
AAUAUUGCGCAAUGGAGGGAACUCUGAUCCAGUCAUCCCGCGUGUGCGAUGAAGGCCUUCGGGUUGUACGGCACUUUUGGCAGGGACGAAAAGGCUCUGGCUAAUACCUGGAGCUUCUGACGGUACCUGCAGAAGAAGCACCGGCUAACUACGUGCCAGCAGCCGCGGUAAUAAGUAGGGUGCAAGCGUUAAUCGGAAUUACUGGGCGUAAAGCGUGCGAAGGCGGUUCGGCAAGAAGGAUGUGAAAUCCCAGGGCUUAACCUUGGAACUGCAUUCUUAACUGCCGGGCUAGAGUAUGUCAGAGGGGAGUAGAAUUCCGCGUGUAGCAGUGAAAUGCGUAGAGAUGCGGAGGAAUACCGAUGGCGAAGGCAGCCCCCUGGGAUAAUACUGACGCUCAUGCACGAAAGCGUGGGGAGCAAAC